ACUGUCUUCUCUAUGGUUAAAUUAAAGUUCAGCGUCUCCACUUGCCUCUCCUCUCAUUUCUUUCGGAAAGCGGAAACCAGACGACCCAGCGGCCAUGGGACGAGCCGCCCCAACUCAACCCCAGCAGGACGCUGGAGGGGCCUCCCUCCCCCGCCUCUCUUCGCCGGCGCUGGCCUCCCGCACCCGGGUCUGCAGUCCCUCCGCCAUCUCGCAGGUGUGCGGCCGCUAGGCCUGGGGGAUCCGAAUGACUGGGGCUGGAUAGGAAUGCCUUCGUGUUUCCCAAGACCCCUGGGCCUGCUCCACAAAGUUUGAAGGGAGCUCAGAGAUGCCCGGGAAGACGGGGGGCCCGAACGGAAGCAGAAAAACACUUAUGGCCGCUGGGAAGUUGGGAGAGCGAGGCUGGGGCUCUGGCAGGCCCAGGGAAAGUUCCCUGUCUAGGCUCUUUAUUAAAAAAUUUAAAAGGAGGAGUUGAGGCACCUUGAAUAUUCCUUCGCGAGUUUGGAGACUAGCCGAUUUUUCAUGAAGCAAGCAAAGACCGCGGUCCCGGAUCCUGCAACUUCUACCUCAUUUUCUCCAGGCCUCUCCACUUGCCCGAGCUCUCAGCCACCAGGAGACAGACGGAAGGGGCUUCUGGAUUGCGUUGGGAGCGGGCACUGUCCCCUACCCACUCCUGCUCAGUUUCCCAAAGUCCAGCGACUUCCGACCCUCCUUGGGGGGAAAAAUACCAGUACCCAGACACCUUUGCACCCUGUUAUAUGACUGGGCUUGCUUCAGGAAUAUCUUACAAAGAAGAAGAAGAAGAAAGAACGGCUUGGAGUCAUGUUUACAUCUAGUUCUACUGAUCCGUUCACAUCUGGAGAGUUUAUUUAUAACUCCCUCUAUAACUCUCUGUUUGGAGACACUGUGGCUCUAUUGACAGACUGAUAUCUAGGAAAUAUUGCUCUAUGUCUAACCGUACCUAAAUGUGCUGUGGUUGUAUUUACAGAUUUAUGUUUGAGGGAAAUAUAACUAUUUCCAUUGUAUUUGUGCAUAUACAGUAGUUAUAGGAGCAGAUUUAUAUAUGGGAAAAUAUACGACUCUCUUACAGCCAUCCAGCUUUAUGUACAUUUGAUAUCCUGACAGAUUUAUAUCUCUGAACAGCUAUAUAGAUAAAAACGUAUAUUGUUAGAAUUAUGUAUCAGAAGAUAUAUACUUAUUGAUUGUGAAAUAGAGUAGUUAGAGCAUUCAUUUAGAGCCAUAUAUGGCUAUGGAGAUAUUGCUAUAUUAUUAUCACUAUAUAUAGGCAUAUCUAUUUAUAACUACAUAGUUAUAAAAAUACAUAUAAGUAAUUACAGUCCUAUAUGUGCAUGCUGCAAUCUCUCUCUAGAGUUAUAGACACUUUCAAAUAUAACUCUAUAGAGAGAUCUGUAUGCAUAUAAGGUGUAAUUAUCUUGUGAUGUGUUUACAUUGGGACUUAGGCCCGUCUGUCUAGAACACACAUAUUUAUAUGUAGGGGCUGGGAGAGACUUGUUCAUAGAUAUCUGCAGAGGGCCAACUGGAAACACUGUAUCUGCCCUCUAGGAAACCAGCUAGGAGAGUUGUGUACUUACGGAGGGAUGGAGUUACAAAAGGUAAAUAGAGCUUAGUGAGCCUUAAGGAGGGGAGGUGAAUGGAGGGUGGGUAGGUGGUGGGCUCCCCCAGGCGGAGACGGGGGAAGCAGCAGGGGCUCCCAGCCUCAGGCCUGCCCGGACGGUGUUGGUUGGAGUGAGUCUCCCCAAAUGUCGUGCCGCCGUCCGUGAUCUCGAGGACCGGUUGGCCUGCGUGCCCCUGGGCUGCUCUUUCACCCGAGGGUCGUUCUGGUUGACAGCAGAACCCCGCAGCCUCAGGGGUUGCCUGGUGGUGUGUGUUUCAAUGCCUCUGCUGUAUGACCCUUUGUUUGUGUGUGUGUGUGUCUCCCAUUCUCCCUUCUCUCUCUGUCUCUCAGUCUCUGUGUGUUUCUUUCCCACUCUCUGUGGGUUUGUGUGUGUGUGCCCGUGUGCUUGUGUGUCUUUGGCUGAAUAUGCCCUGUGAACCACAGAGCUGUCUCUUGCAUGGCGGCCUGUCUUUGUUGAACCUCUUUCUGUGUCUCUGCCUGGGUCAUGAGGCCGGUUGUCAAUCGUUUUCGCCCCCGCGGAUCUGCUUUGGCUGCGUGAAAGCCUGGCCCACGUGAGAAGAUGCGUCGGUCUUGGAGCAAUUGCUGUCUCGUCCCCAUCCUGAGCGUCCUCUUUUCUAGCAUCAAGAGGAACACACUGCAGAUGAGGACAAGAGCCCCACAGGAGCUCUUUGUCCCACAGGAGAUCAGCGGACCCACGUCAGAGAAGAUGUUUGAGUCUUUUCGCGGCUCUUCUCUGAGAAAUGAAGCCACACCACGAUACAGUCAGCAAGAGGAAGCCAGGAAUGAGAGAUGGCAACAAUCCCUGUCCCUGGAACGCUGGCCUCCCUGCACAAGCCACCCUUUAGGAACCCCACCCCUUAUGCCUGUGACGGUGGCAAGGUGCUGUAUCCUGCCUGGGCUCCGGCCUCUGCUCUGUCCUCCCUCUUGCUCUGCCUCCCCUGUUUCUCAGGGACCUGGAUGCCUCUCGCUCUGGCCAAAUGCCUUCAACUAAGAUGACUUCCCACUCCGUCAGGGAGACACUUCCUGGAGACCCGUGUCGUGAUUGUUUGUCUCUCCAAAUGUGUUUCUGCUUGAUUGGGCAGGUCUCAUGGCCCGGGAACACUUGGCUUCCAUAGGUGUCUCAGGCAGGUGUCUUCUCCACGUUUCCCCUCAUGGGUGGGUGGAUUACCUAGAAUGAGCGCUAGGCGACCGUGACUGGCCUUGUCUUCCACGACAGGUGGUGUCGCAUUUCCUCUGCACUUCCUGUCUCAUUCUUGAGGGACAUCCUCUCCUCUGCUCCUGGGUGGACUGAACCCCUUGAUCUUCUGGCCGAAACGAAUGUAAGGGAAACAAAGGGACUGGUCUAGGGCUGGGGGCUGGGGCUGGGGCUCUGUGCAGCCGAAGUUGCGUCAGGGCUGCCAGGGCCUUGGAGGGUUGGGGUUGGGGCGAAUUUUGCAGAAACCUCUUUGCUCCUCCGGUAGGCAUUCGAAAACGUGGCUUGGGUCAGUCACAGGCCCCCCCCACACCCCUCGGGUCCCAGGUGUUUUCGAUUUUCCUUGGCAUUGAUGGAAAUGUCACCUGUUUUCCCCUUCCACCGGCACACGCCUGGACAACACCCUUUGUUUCGCCGUCGCCCCGUAUGCCUCCGGUGACACACGUUAACACCAACUGCUGUGGGAUAGGCCAGGGCCACGCGUAGUCACAUGGUCUCUGCCUCGGGUUUGCUCCUGUUCCUCUUUGCAGGUGUCCUGUAAAGCCCUGUCGGCUUACCGGAGCCCCAGGGCUUUUAGAAGUGGGGCAGGCCACUGCUCUUUCAAAGGAGGAGGGCAUUGAAAAACACACCUCCAGGCAAUCCCUGAGGCUAUGGGGUUCUGCUCUCGAUGAGAACGACCCUCGGGCGAGAGAGCAGCCCAGGGGCAUGCAGGCCGAACUGUCCUAGAGAUCACGGACCGAGGCACGAAUUCUGGGGAGACUCACCCCAACCAACACCAUCCGGGCAGGCCUGAGGCUGGGUUCCUGUGCUGCUUCCCCCGUCUCCGCUGGGCUUUCCUCAUGGUGGUCGGCCCUUUGCGACUCCUGGCAUCUGGAGACAUUCCCGUCGACCCCGUGAAGUUGUUAGGCCGGAGCCUCAGAUCCCCGAAACCCAAGCACGCCAGGGAGGGCUCCUGCUUCGCCAAGCCUCGGAGACUGGUUUCUAAGACAACCGUGGGAACCACUGUGACGGGAGAAGCCGCUCGCGCCUCGCGCAUGCGCAUUGGGUGAGACGAUUUGCGCUCCACUCCUGAGAGAUAGGCUGCGUCCCCUUUAAAUAUCGCCACUGCCGCGCGGCGGCCGCGAUGCUCCUGCUGCCGCCGCGGCGGCGGCUGGAUCCUGGGUCCUGUUUGGGGUGGCGUGGGAGAGGGGGCCGCGGGUGUCUCGUCCUGUCCCAGGCCCAAACCCCCAGGAGUCCUGUCCUCAGGACCUCCUUGAGCCGACUUCCACUGAGGGAGGGGGAGCUUCAGGACGCCUGCUGUGUUCUCCGGACUCCCGUUGAGAUCCGAUUUUGGCCCCCUCCCAGUGAGAUAGGAUGGGCUCACCACAUCUGGUGAGGCAGACAGGGCCUCGCUGUAGCACAGAAUGAUCCCGUAGGUCUCAAGGCCUGGUGUCAGCUGCAAAUUCACUGAUCCAUCAGCCCUCUGCCUCCCUCCUCCUUUGAAAGAGCAGUGGCCUGCCCCGCUUCUAAAAGCCCUGGGGAUCCGGAAAGCCGACCGCGCUUUACAGGUCAACUGCAAAGAGGAACAGAGGCGAAUCCUAGGUGGAGACCAUGUGACCACGCGUGGCACUGGCCUAUCCCACAGCAGUUGGUGUUAAUGUGUGUCACCGGAGGCAUACAGGGCGAUGGCGAAACAAAGGGUGCUGUCCAGGCAUGUGCAGGUGGAAGGGGGAAACAGGUGACCUUUCCAUCAAUGCCAAGGAAAAUCAAAGAACACCUGUGACCCCGUGGGUCGGGGUGCUGCCUGUGCCUGAGCCAAGCCACGUUUUCAAAUGCCUACCGGAGGAGCAAAGAGGUUUCUGCAAAAUUCGCAACAACCCCAAUCCUCCACCAACCCGGUAGCCCUGACGCAACAUCGGCUGCACCCAGCCCCAGCCCCAGUCCCAGCCCCCAGCCCUAGCCCAGUCCCUUUGGUUCCCUGACAUUCGUUUUGGCCAGAAGAUCAAGGGAGUCAGUCCACCCAGGAGCAGAGGAGAGGAUGUCCCUCAAGAAUGAGACAGGAAGUGCAGAGGAAAUGCGACACCACCUGUCGUGGAAGACAAGGCCAGUCACGGUCGCCUAGAGCUCAUUCUAGGCAAUCCACCCACCCAUGAGGGGAAAUGUGGAGAAGAAGGAAGCUUCCCUGCCUGAGACACCUAUGGAAGCCAAGAGCUCCCGGGUCAUUAGACCUACCCAAUCAAGCGGAAAUACUUUUUGAAAGAGAAACAAUCACGACACGGGUCUCCAGGAAGUGUCUCCCUGACGGAGUGGGAAGUCAUCUUUGUUGAAGGCAUUUGGCCAGAGCGAGAGGCAUCCAGGCCCCUGAGAAACAGGGGAGGCAGAGCAAGAGGGAGGACAGAGCAGAGGCCGGAGCCCAGGCAGGAUACAGCACCUUGCCACCGUCACAGGCAUAAGGGGUGGGGUUCCUAAAGGGUGGCUUGUGCAGGGAGGCCAGCGUUCCAGGGACAGGGAUUGUUGCCAUCUCUCAUUCCUGGCUUCCUCUUGCUGACUGUAUCGUGGUGUGGCUUCAUUUCUCAGAGAAGAGCCAUGAAAAGACACAAGCAUCUUCUCUGACGUGGGUCCGCUGCUCUCCUGUGGGACAAAGAGCUCCUGUUGGGGCUCUUGUCCUCGUCUGCAGUGGGUUCAUCUUGAUCCUAGAAAAGAGGCCACUCAGGAUGGGGAUGAGACUUCAAUUGCUCCGGGACCGAAGCAUCUCCUCACGUGGGCCAGGCUUUCACCCACCCAAAGCAGAUCUGCGGGGGCGAAAAUGAUUGACAACCGGCCUCAUGACCCAGGCAGAGACGCAGAAAGAGGCUCAACAAAGACAGGCCGCCAUGCGAGAAACCGCUGUGUGGUGCACAGGGCACAUUCAGCCAAAGACACACACGCACAAGGGCACACACACACAAACCCACAGAGAGUGGGAAAGAAACACACAGAGACUGAGAGACAGAGAGAGAAGAGAGAAUGGGAGACACACACACAGACACACACAGGCUCACACACACACAUACACACACAGACUCACACACAGAGUCAUCCAGCAGAAGUAUUGAAAUACACACCCCCAGGUAACCCCUGAGACUGCGGGAUUCUACUCUCGACGAGAACGACCCUCGGAUGAGAGAGCAGCCCAGGGGCACGCAGGCCGACCUGUCUUAGAGAUCACGGAUGGCGGCACGACUUUUGGGGAGAGUCAACCCAACCAACACGGUCCGGGCAGGCCUGAGGCUGGGAUGCUGUGCUGCUUUUCCCGGACUCCGCCUGGGGUUUCCUCAUCCUGUUUGGCGCUUUGCGACUCCUGGCAUCUGGAGACGUUCCCGUCGACCCCGUGGAGAGGUCAGGCCGGAGCCUCAGAACCCUGACACCCAUGGACUGCCGCGGAGGGCUCCUGCUUUUCUAAGCCUCGGGGACUGGUUUCUAAGACAACCGUGGAACCACUGUGAUGGGAAAAGCCACUCGCGCCUCGCCCAGGAGCAUUGGCUGGGCGGACUCGCGCUCCGCUCCUGGCAGUCAGGCUGCGUCCCCUUUAAAUAAUGGCAGCGCUGCGGGGUGGCAGCGAGGCUCCUGCUGCAGCCGCGGAGUCGGCUGCAUCCGGGGUCCAAUUUGAGGCAGCGUGGGAGAGGGGCCCCGGGUAUAUUGUCCCAGGGCAAAAGCCCCAGGAGUCCUGUCCUCAGGACCUCCUUGAGCCGACUUCCACCGAUGGAGCGGGAGCUUCAGGAGGCUUGCUGUGUUCUCAGGACUCCCCUUCAGAUCCAUUUUGGCCUGCUGAAUGAGAUAGGAUGGGCUCACUACAUCUGGUGAGGCCGUAGGGCCUCGCUGCAGCACAGAAUAAUCCCAUAAGUCUCAAGGCCUAGUGUCAGCUGCACUUUCACUGAUCCAUCAGCCCUCUGCUUCCUUCCUCCUUUGAAAGAGCAGUGGCCUGCCCCGCUUCUAAAAGCCCUGGGGCUCCGGAAAGCCGACCGCGCUUUAUGGGACUGGUAGAAAGAGGAUCAGGGGUGAAUCCGAGAUGGAGACCAUGUGACCACGCGUGGCACUGGUGUAUCCCACAGCAGAUGGUGUGAAUGUGUGUCACCGGAGGCAUACAUUGUGAUGGCGAAACCAACAAUGGUGUCCAGGAAUGUGCCCGGUCGAAGGGGGGAAUGAGUGACCUUUCCAUCAAUGCCAAGGAAAAUCAAAGAACACCUGGGAACGAGGAGGGUGCCUGUGCCUUAGUCCAAGCCACAUUUUGAAAUGCCUGCCAGAGGAUUAAAGAGGUUUUGGCAAAAUUCACCCCACCCCCAACCCUCCAUGGCCCAGGUAGCCCUGACCCAACCUCCCCUGCAACCAGCCGCAGACCCAGCCCCAGCCCCAGCCCAGUCCCUUUGGUUCCUUUCCCCGACAUUCGUUAUGGUCAAAAGAUCCAGAGACUCAGUCCACCCAGGAGCAGAGGAGAGGAUGUCUCUCACGAAUGAGACAUGAAGUGCAGAGGAAAUGCGACACCACCUGUCCUAGAAGACAAGGUCUGUCACGGUCGACUAGCGCUCAUUCCAGGCAAUCCACCCACCCAUGAGGUGAAACACGGAGAGGAAGGAAGCUUCCCUGUCUGAGAGAAGUAUGGAAGCCAAGAGCUCCAGGGUCGUCUAUCCUGCCCCAUCAAGCAGAAACAGGUUGAAAGAGAUAAACGAUCACGACAGGGAUCUCCAGUAAGUGUCUACCUGACGGACUGGGUUGUGAUCAUUGUUGAAGACAUUCAGCGAGAGCGAGAGGCAUCUAGGCCCCUCAGAAACAGGGGAGACAGAGCAAGAGGCAGGACAAAGCAGAGGCCAAAGCCCAGGCAGGAUACAGCACUGUGCCACUGCCACGGCCAUGAGGGGAGGGGUACCAAAAAGGUGGCUUUUCCAGAAAGGCCAGCGUUCCAGUGACUAUCUGUGAAAAUGCUUUGUGAUGCGUGGGUUAUCCCUCAGAGUUAAACAUUUGUUUUGACUUAGCAGUUUGGAAACACUCUUUUUUAAGAAUCAAUGAAGGGAUAUUUUGAAGCCCAUGGAUGAGUAUAUUGAGAAACUAAAUAUCCCACCAUAGAAACUAGCAAGAAAUUAUUAGUGAAAAUGCUCUGUGAUGUGUGGAUUCAUCUCACAGAGUUAGACUUUUGUUUUUAUUCUGCAGGUUUCAAACACUUUUUUGUGGAAUCUACAAAGGAACAUUUCAGAGCCCACAGAGGCCUAUAGUGAAAACUGAAUAUCUUGUGAUAAAAGCUAGAAACAAGCUAUCUGUGAAAAUGUUUGUGAUGUGUGGAUUUAUCUCAUAGAGUUAUACCUAUGUUUAUAUACAGCAGGUUGGAAACACUCUUUUAGUAGAAUUUAAAAUAAGAAAUUUCUGAGUCCUUGAGGCCUAUUAUAAAGAAAUGAAUAUCCCUGAUAAAAACUGACAACAAAUUAUCUGUGAAAAUGCUUUGAGAUAUGUGGAUUCAUCUCGCAAAGUUAAACCCUUGUUUUGGUUCAGAAGGUUGAAAAUACUCUUUUUGUAAUAUCUAUGAAGGGAUAUUUUGG
rnacentral:lncRNA from 1 species